rnacentral:rRNA from 1 species
CAGCAGCCGCGGUAAUACGGAGGGGGCUAGCGUUGUUCGGAAUUACUGGGCGUAAAGCGUACGUAGGCGGAUCAGAAAGUAUGGGGUGAAAUCCCAGGGCUUAACCCUGGAACUGCCUCGUAAACUCCUGGUCUUGAGUUCGAGAGAGGUAAGUGGAAUUCCAAGUGUAGAGGUGAAAUUCGUAGAUAUUUGGAGGAACACCAGUGGCGAAGGCGGCUUACUGGCUCGAUACUGACGCUGAGGUACGAAAGUGUGGGGAGCAAACAGGAUUAGAUACCCUGGUAGUCCACACCGUAAACGAUGAAUGCCAGUCGUCGGGUAGCAUGCUAUUCGGUGACACACCUAACGGAUUAAGCAUUCCGCCUGGGGAGUACGGUCGCAAGAUUAAAACUCAAAUGAAUUGACGGGGGCCCGCACAAGCGGUGGAGCAUGUGGUUUAAUUCGAUGCAACGCGAAGAACCUUACCUACUCUUGACAUCCACAGAAUUUUCCAGAGAUGGAUUAGUGCCUUCGGGAACUGUGAGACAGGUGCUGCAUGGCUGUCGUCAGCUCGUGUUGUGAAAUGUUGGGUUAAGUCCCGCAACGAGCGCAACCCUUAUCCUUAUUUGCCAGCACGUAAUGGUGGGAACUUUAGGGAGACUGCCGGUGAUAAACCGGAGGAAGGUGGGGACGACGUCAAGUCAUCAUGGCCCUUACGAGUAGGGCUACACACGUGCUACAAUGGUCGGUACAGAGGGUCGCAAAGCCGCGAGGUGUAGCUAAUCCCACAAAGCCGGUCGUAGUCCGGAUCGGAGUCUGCAACUCGACUCCGUGAAGUCGGAAUCGCUAGUAAUCGUGAAUCAGCAUGUCACGGUGAAUACGUUCCCGGGCCUUGUACACACCGCCCGUCACACCAUGGAAGUUGGUUCUACCCGACGACGCUGCGCUAACCCUUCGGGGAGGCAGGCGGCCACGGUAGGAUCAGCGACUGGGGUGAAGUCGUAACAAGGUAACCGUA